AUAUCCCCUGCAGGAUGGAAGCACCUUCUGUUGAAGACCACUGCCUUAAAAUCAGCACCUCUUGGAGGAGGCAUCACCAAAAGCCUGGCGCAGGCAUCCGACAGAGCACCCUGAGGCCAGCUUCCCAAUCCAGAUGUUUCUGCUUGGCUGCCUCCUCCUCGAGAUCAGGCGCUGUCCCAGUCAUUUCCUCUCCUUUCAAGAAGAUUCCAGAUGAACAUAAAUCUCACCCCGGCUCUGACAGCCCCCAGUCAUCUGUUUACCAAAAUAAACUUUAAGCAUACAUUGAAAAAUAAUUCCUAGUGAAAUAUGCAUCCCCAUGGCAUUCAAGUCUGGUAUUUAAUGUCUUUUUUAUGGUUAAUAAUGCAUCAAAAGCAUCCCCAGUCUGAAGCUGUCAUUACAUCACAUACAUGAUGUGCAGGGCCCAUUUCAAUGACUAAAAAACUCAGAGUCCAUUUUUAUUAAAAAAAAAAAAAAACCUAAUGUAUAAUUACAGUGGCCUGUUUCCUUCUAUGUGUAUUUCUUUUUAAUAAAUCUGCUGCUUGAUGAGAUCA
rnacentral:lncRNA from 1 species